AUUGAACGCUGGCGGCAGGCCUAACACAUGCAAGUCGAGCGGAGCGGCGGACGGGCGAGUAAUUCCUAGGUAUCUGCCUGGUAGUGGGGGAUAACGUCCGGAAACGGGCGCUAAUACCGCAUCCUUUCUGAUGACCCUAGGUCGGAUUAGCUAGUUGGUGGGGUAAAGGCCUACCAAGGCGACGAUCCGUACCUGGUCUGAGAGGAUGAUCAGUCACACUGGAACUGAGACACGGUCCAGACUCCUACGGGAGGCAGCAGUGGGGAAUAUUGGACAAUGGGCGAAAGCCUGAGCCAGCCAUGCCGCGUGUGUGAAGAAGGUCUUCGGAUUGUAAAGCACUGUAAGUUGGGAGGCGUUACCAACAGAAUAAGCACCGGCUAACUUCGUGCCAGCAGCCGCGGUAAUAC
rnacentral:rRNA from 1 species